rnacentral:misc_RNA from 1 species
AUCGAUCAAUACGAAAAGAUGCGGUCCCACUCGCGAUACCCGGUCAAUUACUCACGCGGUGUGUGAAGUUUCAAGAAUAAAGAACAGCCGAGAGAGCGACUGGAUCGGAAGUUUUUUUUUCUUUUUUUUAUGAAUUUUUUCCUCGUUUCGCUUACUCGUAACCGACGAGAACAAAGAUCGGCUUCGCUGCAGCGGUAAAUGAGAAGAGCGACGUUGAAUCGCGUGUGUCGCACUUGUUGCGCUGACCUGUUAGGAUUCUUCUGGACACGUAGCGCGGCAUCGGCUAGUCGCAACGAUUGCGAUAGAACGAAAUCAGAUGCGUUGCUUCGACCGAGGUGGUUCGUAACCGGGACACUCGUAGUUUGGCUGCGAAUCGUGGUGGGUAUUUCGCGGUGCAUCGACGUCGCACGGUGCGGAGGGGAAAUGUGAAUCGGGAACGGUGUAUACCUAUGUACAUCUGCGAGUACACGAGUUGAAUGGAUUUGAGGAUAAAGGAUCCGCUGUUGCCGCUGCAACGCGAGUACCCCGGCGUUGACAAUGGUGGGGAUUGCGGUUGAGGAAAGUGAGGUGGAAAAUAGCCGCAGACUGUCCCCGUCUCAAAUGACCACUGGAACUACGUUGAAGAUAUUCAACUUCGUACAGUACAUGGGCUCCUUCGCCGUUGGAAGUCCUGAAGUCGCUGGACGGGCGGAGUACGUGCGAUCGCGACUCGGUGCUCUUAGACACAGUCACCGUUCAACACCCGUACUUCUAAUCAUCUCGCUAGCGGGGAUCAAAGUAUGCAGUCCAGAUGGAAAAACAGUGCAGAUGGCCCAUGCGCUGAGACGCAUUUCGUACGCUACCUGUGAGCCUCAAUACGCCCAAUUCAGUUUCUUGGCAAGGGAACCCGGGGCGCACUUCAGUCUUCAGUACUGCCACUCCUUCAUCACCGAAACUCCUGAACAGGCCGAGGAACUAAACACUAUUGUCGGAAAUGCAUUUCGUAUGGCGUACGCGGCGCAACUCCAGAGACAGCCGAUCCUUCAGGAGGUGAUCUCGCCCCAACCAACCCCUUCGCGUCGCAAGGAUCGACCGGAACGAAAUACUAAUUUGCAGAACAAACAGCCGACGCGGGGGUCCGCUGACUCGACGGAUAAAACGUCAAUUUUCUGGCCCCAGAGUGUCCUGGCGCCUACCCCCCGUGGAGGUGGUGUCCCACCCUCCACAGCGGAAAUGAACGUGCAACUCGGUAGUGCCGGGUCUCCCACCUUACGCUUAUCAACUGUAAAGACGCCAAACUCGAUUCCGGGACUAAGACCCUCGCACAAUUUCAACAACGUUUUGGGUCCCAUAACGAAUGAAGAUGGUCCCAAAAGCAUAUCGCAACAGAGCACACCGAGCAGUGACGAAAGCAACUCCCCGACGGAGUUGAAUUCGUACAAAAGGUUGACGGACAAACCACCCCUGAUAAAACGCCUGACGAUGGGCCUAGCCGGGGGUCGUGAUCUCCUCACCAUCAAUAGCGAGGAUGAUAGUUGCCCCCUCGUAAGCGGAGGUAGCACCCCAACCAGUCCAACGAACAGACCAAGAUCGGGAGGCUACGUGAACGAAGCCAUCAUCGACUCCGAAGGAACAAGGAUGAGCUACAAUAAAAUUACCUGUGCAUCUGAAAAUUUAGAUAACACUAUCAAUUCCUCAUUGACAGCGAAGAACUUCAAUGCAGAGAAUAACAGGAUAAGUCAUAAUUCGCAAAAUUCUGUUGCUGAGAACGAAUUCAAGUCUAAAAGAAGAUCUCAAAUAAGUACGUCCGGGAGUUCGGUUCCUCCUGACGGUAGUACUCAGGGUUCAACGCCGACCCAAACGCCUACCCCUACACCCCCACCCCUACCUGAGCGAACGGAUAGCCUUAACAAUCGUACGGAGGAAAGUGAGCUAAGAAAAGCUCCCUGGUUCCAAGCAGGCAUUCCGAGAGAAAUAACACUCGAAGUUCUGAGCCAAGAACCGGAGGGUGCUUUUAUGGUACGAGAAAGCACCAGCAAACCCGGAUGUUACGCUCUUUCCUUGAGGGUACCACGAGAAUUUCAGCCUAGCGGUAUCGCUCAUUAUCUAAUCAUGAGAACGAACAAGGGAUACAAAAUCAAGGGUUUCACCAAAGAGUUUACAACGCUGACGGCACUGAUAACGCACCAUUCGGUGAUGCCUGAACUUUUACCGUGCCCCUUGUCCCUUAGUCGAUACAACCCUAGCUUCGUAAAAAGCGAUUCCAAUAAGGAUUUCGCAGAUAUCGACUCUGACCCUGACUACAAUACGCUGGCAGAUUUUCGAAAAAUGAUGGCAGACUUGAACGUCUAAUUUGCCUACCGUUCCCGCUACAUAAACAUUGUGUAAUGAUUGUUCCUGAUAUGUCGAGUAUACGAGAGGCACCAUGCGCCGGAUGAUGAUACAAACUUUUUUCCCAUCUAGAAAGAAAAAAGGCGGGGUAAACGAUUUUCACAAAAAAUGAUAAGGCGACUGGAUCCAGCGGCGACUCACAGCCAAAUACAGAGAAGAAGGGAAAAAAAAAAAACGUUGAGGAGAGGAAGCUGAGAUAAUUAUUCGUUCCAGAGGGAUAGAGAUCGAAGUCAAAAGUAUUAUGAUGAACAGAGUUCUGUCAAGGGCUAACAAUUUAUACCAUUUAUACACCUACCCGCAUAUUACGCUGCUACAGAAUCCUCGUUAGUACCUACCUAUGUUGUCAAAUUGAUGUAAAUGUGUUUAUAUUGUAUAUACAUAUAUAAAUUAUAAAUAAUUAUUGUUAACUGCAAGAAUAAUUAAUAUUUAAUUUAAAUGA